CCGGCGAUGUCCGAAUGGGGAAACCCAGUGCAAUUCGUUGCACUAUCGUUAACUGAAUACAUAGGUUAACGAGGCGAACCGGGGGAACUGAAACAUCUAAGUACCCCGAGGAAAAGAAAUCAACCGAGAUUCCCCCAGUAGCGGCGAGCGAACGGGGAGCAGCCCAGAGUCUGAAUCAGCUUGUGUGUUAGUGGAACGGUCUGGAAAGUCCGACGGUACAGGGUGAUAGUCCCGUACACCAAAAUGCACAGGCUGUGAACUCGAAGAGUAGGGCGGGACACGUGGUAUCCUGUCUGAAUAUGGGGGGACCAUCCUCCAAGGCUAAAUACUCCUGACUGACCGAUAGUGAACCAGUACCGUGAGGGAAAGGCGAAAAGAACCCCGGCGAGGGGAGUGAAAAAGAACCUGAAACCGUGUACGUACAAGCAGUGGGAGCACCUUCGGGUGUGACUGCGUACCUUUUGUAUAAUGGGUCAGCGACUUAUAUUCUGUAGCAAGGUUAACCGUAUAGGGGAGCCGCAGGGAAACCGAGUCUUAACUGGGCGUUAAGUUGCAGGGUAUAGACCCGAAACCCGGUGAUCUAGCCAUGGGCAGGUUGAAGGUUGGGUAACACUAACUGGAGGACCGAACCGACUAAUGUUGAAAAAUUAGCGGAUGACUUGUGGCUGGGGGUGAAAGGCCAAUCAAACCGGGAGAUAGCUGGUUCUCCCCGAAAGCUAUUUAGGUAGCGCCUCGUGAAUUCAUCUUCGGGGGUAGAGCACUGUUUCGGCUAGGGGGUCAUCCCGACUUACCAACCCGAUGCAAACUACGAAUACCGAAGAAUGUUAUCACGGGAGACACACGGCGGGUGCUAACGUCCGUCGUGAAGAGGGAAACAACCCAGACCGCCAGCUAAGGUCCCAAAGUCAUGGUUAAGUGGGAAACGAUGUGGGAAGGCACAGACAGCCAGGAUGUUGGCUUAGAAGCAGCCAUCAUUUAAAGAAAGCGUAAUAGCUCACUGGUCGAGUCGGCCUGCGCGGAAGAUGUAACGGGGCUAAACCAUGCACCGAAGCUGCGGCAGCGACACUAUGUGUUGUUGGGUAGGGGAGCGUUCUGUAAGCCUGCGAAGGUGACCUGUGAGGGUUGCUGGAGGUAUCAGAAGUGCGAAUGCUGACAUAAGUAACGAUAAAGCGGGUGAAAAGCCCGCUCGCCGGAAGACCAAGGGUUCCUGUCCAACGUUAAUCGGGGCAGGGUGAGUCGACCCCUAAGGCGAGGCCGAAAGGCGUAGUCGAUGGGAAACAGGUUAAUAUUCCUGUACUUGGUGUUACUGCGAAGGGGGGACGGAGAAGGCUAUGUUAGCCGGGCGACGGUUGUCCCGGUUUAAGCAUGUAGGCUGGUUAUCCAGGCAAAUCCGGAUAAUCAAGGCUGAGGUGUGAUGACGAGGCACUACGGUGCUGAAGUAACAAAUGCCCUGCUUCCAGGAAAAGCCUCUAAGCAUCAGGUAACAUCAAAUCGUACCCCAAACCGACACAGGUGGUCAGGUAGAGAAUACCAAGGCGCUUGAGAGAACUCGGGUGAAGGAACUAGGCAAAAUGGUGCCGUAACUUCGGGAGAAGGCACGCUGGUGUGUAGGUGAAGUCCCUGCGGAUGGAGCUGAGACCAGUCGAAGAUACCAGCUGGCUGCAACUGUUUAUUAAAAACACAGCACUGUGCAAACACGAAAGUGGACGUAUACGGUGUGACGCCUGCCCGGUGCCGGAAGGUUAAUUGAUGGGGUUAUCCGUAAGGAGAAGCUCUUGAUCGAAGCCCCGGUAAACGGCGGCCGUAACUAUAACGGUCCUAAGGUAGCGAAAUUCCUUGUCGGGUAAGUUCCGACCUGCACGAAUGGCGUAAUGAUGGCCAGGCUGUCUCCACCCGAGACUCAGUGAAAUUGAACUCGCUGUGAAGAUGCAGUGUACCCGCGGCAAGACGGAAAGACCCCGUGAACCUUUACUAUAGCUUGACACUGAACAUUGAGCCUUGAUGUGUAGGAUAGGUGGGAGGCUUUGAAGCGUGGACGCCAGUCUGCGUGGAGCCAACCUUGAAAUACCACCCUUUAAUGUUUGAUGUUCUAACGUUGGCCCCUUACCGGGGUUGCGGACAGUGUCUGGUGGGUAGUUUGACUGGGGCGGUCUCCUCCCAAAGCGUAACGGAGGAGCACGAAGGUUAGCUAAUCCUGGUCGGACAUCAGGAGGUUAGUGCAAUGGCAUAAGCUAGCUUGACUGCGAGCGUGACGGCGCGAGCAGGUGCGAAAGCAGGUCAUAGUGAUCCGGUGGUUCUGAAUGGAAGGGCCAUCGCUCAACGGAUAAAAGGUACUCCGGGGAUAACAGGCUGAUACCGCCCAAGAGUUCAUAUCGACGGCGGUGUUUGGCACCUCGAUGUCGGCUCAUCACAUCCUGGGGCUGAAGUAGGUCCCAAGGGUAUGGCUGUUCGCCAUUUAAAGUGGUACGCGAGCUGGGUUUAGAACGUCGUGAGACAGUUCGGUCCCUAUCUGCCGUGGGCGCUGGAGAAUUGAGGGGGGCUGCUCCUAGUACGAGAGGACCGGAGUGGACGCAUCACUGGUGUUCGGGUUGUCAUGCCAAUGGCACUGCCCGGUAGCUAAAUGCGGAAGAGAUAAGUGCUGAAAGCAUCUAAGCACGAAACUUGCCCCGAGAUGAGUUCUCCCUGAGACUUUAAGUCUCCUGAAGGAACGUUGAAGACGACGACGUUGAUAGGCCGGGUGUGUAAGCGCAGCGAUGCGUUGAGCUAACCGGUACUAAUGAACCGUGAGGCUUAACCUUACAACGCCGAAG
rnacentral:rRNA from 1 species